CUGGAAAAGCGGGUUCCGGAGUUUCACACGCGAAAUGUAGUAAGAAAGAGACACAGAAAGGGGGAGAUGAGCCCUUAAGUACAGGCAACCCUAGGCUUCAGGGGAAAGGGGCUGGCGAAAAACUCAACACAUUUUCUUAGAUAUUUCUAACAAAACAAAAGUUUCAACCCCUUGGAUAAAAGCCUGACUCUGUACCUGGUGUUCAGUUUGACUUGGAUUUCUUAACAGCAUCAAAAGGCAUUUCAAGAUAAAUCAGUCCACAAGCAUUUAUUAAGCCAUCUAACAUGUUCCAGGCACUGGGGAAACAACUACAAAGAAGAAAUAUAUCUGUACUCCCAAAGAACCAAUUUCAAAUUUGUGUUCCUUUUUUUAGUAUAUAAGAAAAGUAGAAACACUGUCUUUUUCCAGCUGACUUUCUAUGAAGCUAAGUGUAGAUGUUUUUUUUGUUAGAAAAUUAAAAUUAUGUAACAUUUCACUUUUUGCUUUAAAUUAUUAGUCUAAUAUAAUAUUCAUUUACAAUAAACAUUUUCUCUCAGGUACUUGGUAGUAGAUGCCUCUGCUCUCUUCAGAUAGCCAUUUAAAAACAAAAAUUAUUACUGACUACUCUAUUUCUGUACUAUGUGAAAACCUAUAAGCAACAGUUACAAAUUCUAAAAAAUAAUAAAAUAGUCACUUUGGGGGUCACAUAAUAUUUACACAUUACUAAAAUUGACAUUUGAUUAUGCUGAUAGAAAUCAAAACAUCAAGGAAUAUGAAGUUUAAGUGAUAUAACUUAUAAAAAGUGCUAGUAGUUCAUUAAUAUAUUAAGUAUAUACAUUGUAUCUUCUCUGCUUAUAAAAUAUGACAAAUAUUUUAGUUAUUUUCAUUUGGCAUCAUGAAGAAUCUUUGUAAAAUGAUAGAUCAUAAAUGGAAUACUAAUUUUCUAAGAUGGAUUAAACAAGUUAGCUAAUGAAUAAUGAUUUCUUUCAUGAAGUCUGUGCUUUGAAUGUAUAUACACACAUACAUAUACAUUCAUUUGCAGCAAACAAAUGAAAUUUUUGAUGAAAAAAAGCCAAAAUGGGGCUACAGUCAUACUAUUAUUAAGGUAAAUGCCUAAUAUAAAAGCUCAACUAAGAAGUUUCCUUGACCAUUAAUUUUUAAAGUAACCACAGGAAAUUGGUGAGAAACCAAAUAAGCCAAAUAAAUUAGUUCCUAACUAUCCUUUUUGUAUUAGUUCUGUCUUUAAUUUUUCCAUUUGCAACUUACUGCUUUUAUUAAGACACCAGCAAGGAAGAAAAGAUAAAAAAUAACUAUUUGUCAGCUUCUCUAGCAAAGGAAGGCCUAGGGUGGUAAAAACCAGUGAAACUCAUGUUUAAAUUAGUAUUUAGGAGAUUAUUUUUAAAUUUUUAUGUGCUGUAUAUUUCCCCACAAUCAGGUAUAGAACUGACUUUAGAAACAUGCAGUAGAGACUUUAAACAGUAUUCAGAUUAAUACAUGCAAUACAUGCAAAUUAAAAGAGAUGUCAUGAACAGAAAUCUGUGGAAAUUGAAACAAACAUUUAAAUCUUUCAAUGCAAAAAUGUGUUUUUUCAAAACUCAU